UUCAUCUCACAUGAAAUAACUGCCUCAGGUUUGUGUAAAGAGGAGCACCAGUUGGUUAGCUUAGCCGCUAAACAUUUAGACGCUUUGUUUCCAGUUUGGCUCCACAUUAUCAUGACUUUAUGAGUGAAACACCAGCUCACAUGUCGGGAAACGCUGCUGUAUACGGAGCAUCUACAAGGAACUCUGUCAGAGGGAAAGUGGAGGUGGUGUCGAGUGCAGCUUCGCCAUCAAGCCGACAGAAAAGACUUUGAUCAGACGGGGAGGCAGCUCUUUGAUGCAGAAUGACCCAGCAUGUCGCCUGAGAAGUGAAGGAAAGAGCACGUCGGCGCUCUCACCGACAUGAAGACUUUUGUGUCCAAACAGGCUCUCUGGGUCAUCUUUAUCACGACUACGUCACUCCUUUUUCCCCCCGAGUUAAAACCAUGAAGUGAGCAACAGUCGUCCGUCUCCGGCUGGUUUUUAAAAGCCUUCCCUCCUAUCUCUUCUCUUCUCCUCUCCUCUCUCUGUGUUGUUCUGUCGGCUAUAGCUAAUAUCAGCCCUUCACUCAGAAGAGACUCUAUACACCCCAGGGCGAAAAAAAAAAAAAAAGAGAGCUCCAUCUUUAACUUUAAAUGAGCUGUAAUGGCGUCCUAGAUCCAAUAUGGCCUCGUAUCCUGCAGCCACACGGGGGCUUUUCAAUUCCCGGGGCCAAAGGUGUGAGUAUUAUCUGGAGAUUCAUUCCCUGGGCUUAAAUGGGAGAAUGAAAAGUGAGGCUUAACUCACCUGCCUUUUUUUUUUGAGAGAGAGAGCUCGACGCAGCUCAUUCUUCAUUCAGCGUCGAGGCAAUCUUCAAACCAAGAGAGGAGGACGAGGAGGAGGAGGAGGAGGAGGAGGAGGACGAGGAGGAGGAGGAGGAGGAGGAGGACGAGGAGGACGAGGAGGACGAGGAGGAGGACGUCAAAAUGGCUCCCCGAUGUUUGUAAUGUGAUUUUACCAGUUUGAUGUGUUCAAACUGAAGGGAAUCUUUUCUUAUCUUGCAGAAUCAGUGACUUGUUGAAUAACUCUUAUUUCCAGCACGUUCUUUUUAUUAUUAUGAAUGUUUUUAUCUGAAA